GCACGGGUGAGUAACACGUGACUAACCUACCCUGGAGUGGGGGAUAACUGAGGGAAACCUUAGCUAAUACCGCAUAACACCUACGGGUCAAAGGAGCAAUUCGCUUUGGGAGGGGGUCGCGGCCGAUUAGUUAGUUGGCGGGGUAAUGGCCCACCAAGACUGUGAUCGGUAUCCGGCCUGAGAGGGCGCACGGACACACUGGAACUGAAACACGGUCCAGACUCCUACGGGAGGCAGCAGUGGGGAAUUUUGCGCAAUGGGGGAAACCCUGACGCAGCAACGCCGCGUGGAGGAUGAAGUACUUCGGUACGUAAACUCCUUUCGAUCGGGACGAUAAUGACGGUACCGGAAGAAGAAGCCCCGGCUAACUUCGUGCCAGCAGCCGCGGUAAUACGGGGGGGGCAAGCGUUGUUCGGAAUUAUUGGGCGUAAAGGGUGCGUAGGCGGUUUGGUAAGUCUUAUGUGAAAUCUCCGGGCUCAACUCGGAGUCUGCAUGGGAAACUGCCGGGCUUGAGUGUGGGAGAGGUGAGUGGCAAUUUCCGGUGUAGCGGUGAAAUGCGUAGAUAUCGGAAGGAACACCAGUG
rnacentral:rRNA from 1 species